rnacentral:rRNA from 1 species
UACGUAGGGUGCGAGCGUUAAUCGGAAUUACUGGGCGUAAAGCGUGCGCAGGCGGCUUUGCAAGACAGAUGUGAAAUCCCCGGGCUUAACCUGGGAACUGCAUUUGUGACUGCAAGGCUAGAGUACGGUAGAGGGGGAUGGAAUUCCGCGUGUAGCAGUGAAAUGCGUAGAUAUGCGGAGGAACACCGAUGGCGAAGGCAAUCCCCUGGACCUGUACUGACGCUCAUGCACGAAAGCGUGGGGAGCAAACAGG